rnacentral:rRNA from 1 species
UACGUAGGGCGCGAGCGUUGUCCGGAUUUAUUGGGCGUAAAGAGCUCGUAGGCGGCUUGUCACGUCGAUUGUGAAAGCCCGAGGCUUAACCUCCGGCCUGCAGUGGGUACGGGCAGACUAGAGUGCGGUAGGGGAGAUUGGAAUUCCUGGUGUAGCGGUGGAAUGCGCAGAUAUCAGGAGGAACACCGAUGGCGAAGGCAGAUCUCUGGGCCGUAACUGACGCUGAGGAGCGAAAGCAUGGGGAGCGAACAGG